rnacentral:rRNA from 1 species
UACGGAGGGUGCAAGCGUUAUCCGGAUUUAUUGGGUUUAAAGGGUGCGUAGGCGGCCCUAUAAGUCGGUGGUUAAAGGUAGCCGCUUAACGGUUUUACAUGCCAUCGAUACUGUAGGGCUUGAGUGAUUUGGAGGUAGCUAGAAUUCCCUGUGUAGCGGUGAAAUGCAUAGAUACGGGGAGGAAUACCGAUUGCGAAGGCAUGUUACUACGAAUUAACUGACGCUGAGGCACGAAAGCGUGGGGAUCAAA